UACGGAGGGUGCGAGCGUUGUCCGGAAUCACUGGGCGUAAAGGGCGCGUAGGUGGCCUGUGGAAGUCUGCGGUGAAAGCCCGGCGCUCAACGCCGGGUCGGCCGUGGAUACUCUCGGGCUCGAGCUUACUAGAGGCAGAUGGAAUUCCGGGUGUAGCGGUGGAAUGCGUAGAGAUCCGGAAGAACAUCGGUGGCGAAGGCGGUCUGCUGGGGUAAUGCUGACACUGAUGCGCGACAGCGUGGGGAGCAAACAGG
rnacentral:rRNA from 1 species